rnacentral:rRNA from 1 species
UGGGGAAUAUUGGACAAUGGGCGAAAGCCUGAUCCAGCCACGCCGCGUGUGUGAAGAAGUUCUUCGGAUUGUAAAGCACUUUAAGUUGGGAGGAAGGGCAGUAAGCGAAUACCUUGCUGUUUUGACGUUACCGACAGAAUAAGCACCGGCUAACUCUGUGCCAGCAGCCGCGGUAAUACAGAGGGUGCAAUCGUUAAUCGGAAUUACUGGGCGUAACGCGCGCGUAGGUGGUUCGUCGAGUUGUAUGUGAAAGCCCCGGGCUCAACCUGCGAACUGCAUCCAAAGCUGGCGAGCUAGAAUAGGGCAGAAGGUGGUGGAAUUUCCUGUGUAGCGGUGGAAUGCGUAGUUAUAGGAAAGAACACCAGUGGCGAAGGCGACCACCUGGGCUCAUACUGACACUGAGGUGCGAAAGCGUGGGGAGUAAACAGG